UGCCCAGUGUCAGUAGAUAAAUGGCCGCAGUACCUUGACUGUGCUAAGGUAGCAUAAUCAAUUGGCUUUUAAUUGAAGUCUAGAAUGAAUGGGAUAAUGGAAUUUAGCUGUCUUGAUUUUUUUAAUAAAAAUUUAUUUAUAAGGUGAAAAUACCUUAAAUUAUAAUAAAGACGAGAAGACCCUAUGAAUUUUUAAAUUUUUUUUGUUGGGGCGACAGUUUAAAAAUAAAAUCUUAAAUUUAAAAUAUAUAACGAUUUUUUAAUAAAAAUUAAAUUACCUUAGGGAUAACAGCAUUAUUAUUCAAAUAGUUUGUGACCUCGAUGUUGGACUAGGAACUAAAAGGCUAA
rnacentral:rRNA from 1 species